GCUCUUUCCGUUGAGCCACGCUGCUUCUCUGCGUAUAAGGGGCCGGAGCAGCUGGGAGCCCAAGCUCAGAAGAGAGCCAGAGACCAGAAUUUUCCAUGCAGGAGGGACUGAAAAGGAAAACAAAGGGGCAGUGAAGAAAAUUUUGCUCGUCUCCCCUGCAACAUCCCUCCCCCACCCAGGCCCGGAUGUGGCUUCUGAGAUGCCAGUCAGCUGAAUGAAUCUUUUUCAGAGAAGUGUGACCAAA